GGCCUCGUAGUUCAACGGAUAGAAUAGAAGUUUCCUAAACUUUAGAUAUGGGUUCGAUUCCCGUCGAGGCUA
rnacentral:tRNA from 2 species